AGGUCAAAAUAAGGUUAAGUUAGUAAGGGCGCACGGUGGAUGCCUUGGCACUAGGAGCCGAAGAAGGACGUGACAAACGACGAAAUGCCUUGGGGAGCUGUAAGUAAGCGUU
rnacentral:rRNA from 1 species